AGUGAACGCUGGCGGUAGGCCUAACACAUGCAAGUCGAACGGCAGCACAGGAGAGCUUGCUCUCUAGGUGGCGAGUGGCGGACGGGUGAGGAAUACAUCGGAAUCUGCCCAGUCGUGGGGGAUAACGUAGGGAAACUUACGCUAAUACCGCAUACGACCUUCGGGUGAAAGAGGGGGAUCGCAAGACCUCUCGCGAUUGGAUGAGCCGAUGUCGGAUUAGCUAGUUAGCGGGGUAAUGGCCCACCAAGGCGACGAUCCGUAGCUGGUCUGAGAGGAUGAUCAGCCACACUGGAACUGAGACACGGUCCAGACUCCUACGGGAGGCAGCAGUGGGGAAUAUUGGACAAUGGGCGCAAGCCUGAUCCAGCCAUACCGCGUGGGUGUAGAAGGCCUUCGGGUUGUAAAGCCCUUUUGUUGGGAAAGAAAUCUUUCAGGCUAAUACCCUGGGAGGAUGACGGUACCCAAAGAAUAAGCACCGGCUAACUUCGUG
rnacentral:rRNA from 1 species